UACGGGGGGGGGCAAGCGUUGUUCGGAAUUACUGGGCGUAAAGAGCUCGUAGGUGGUUUGUCGCGUUGUUCGUGAAAACUCACAGCUCAACUGUGGGCGUGCGGGCGAUACGGGCAGACUGGAGUACUGCAGGGGAGACUGGAAUUCCUGGUGUAGCGGUGGAAUGCGCAGAUAUCAGGAGGAACACCGGUGGCGAAGGCGGGUCUCUGGGCAGUAACUGACGCUGAGGAGCGAAAGCGUGGGGAGCGAACAGG
rnacentral:rRNA from 1 species